UACGAAGGGGGCUAGCGUUGCUCGGAAUCACUGGGCGUAAAGGGUGCGUAGGCGGGUUCUUAAGUUAGAGGUGAAAGCCUGGAGCUCAACUCCAGAACUGCCUUUAAUACUGGGAAUCUUGAGUUCGGAAGAGGUGAGUGGAACUGCGAGUGUAGAGGUGAAAUUCGUAGAUAUUCGCAAGAACACCAGUGGCGAAGGCGGCUCACUGGUCCGAUACUGACGCUGAGGCACGGAAAGCGUGGGGAGCAAACAGG
rnacentral:rRNA from 1 species